UACGUAGGGCGCAAGCGUUAUCCGGUGUUAUUGGGCGUAAAGAGCUCGUAGGCGGUUUGUCGCGUCUGCCGUGAAAGUCCGGGGCUCAACUCCGGAUCUGCAGUGGGUACGGGCAGACUAGAGUGUGGUAGGGGAGACUGGAAUUCCUGGUGUAGCGGUGAAAUGCGCAGAUAUCAGGAGGAACACCGAUGGCGAAGGCGGCUCUCUGGGACGGUACUGACGCUGAGACGCGAAAGCGUGGGGAGCGAACAGG
rnacentral:rRNA from 1 species